rnacentral:lncRNA from 1 species
UCAUGCGCACUCCCUACUCGCACAUGGCUAGGUCAUCACCGGGUUAUGCGCACUCCCUACUCGCACAUAAUCGGGUCAUCCUCGACUUAUGCGCACUCCCUACUCCCACAUAGCUGAGUCAAUAUAAUUACACAACAUUAUACUCAAGCAUAUAUAUAUAUCAACAUAAUGCAGCCACAUAGAAAUCCAUAAUAAUCACAUUUCAUAACAUAAACCUUUUCUCAAAAGCUUGUUCCCAAGGCAUUCAUUUUCAUGAAAAAUUGUAUAAAAUCAUUCAAACACUUUGUCAAAUCCAUCAUAUUCCCAAAAUCAGUUUUGAAGGUAGUCCACUCACCAAUUGAUUGUAGAACUUUUAAUUGACUCAAAUUCCCCUAAUGAUCCAAUUGGAAUGAUGGUGCUUCCUUAAAAACCUAGGAUCACAUUAACAUAAACAAUAGAUUAAUUUACACACUAUGAACUCUAAAAGCUAUCUCUUAGCUAGUUUUCAAUUGCCACUUUAAAUGGCUAUCUAUGUUCACUAUCUUAAUCACUAAAAAGUAAUGAACAUACUAAAUAAUAAAACAGCUCAUAAAUCACAAUUACUAGCCAUUUUCUGCAGCUAAAAAUCAAACUUGGUGCAUCACUCACCCUAGGGUUCCUUUAUAGUUGGAUUCUCUUCCAAUAGCUUCCAAAUCAAUGGAGUGAUUCUCUUUUUCUCUCUCUAGAAUGCCCAACUAGUGAGAGAAAGUAUGAAAACAAGAUAUUUUAAGGUUUUUGAAGUGAGAAGAUGAAAUAGCACAAGGGUUUAUGGAAGGGUGCACCAAAAGCAUGAAAAUUAGAGCUAGAGAGAGAAAGUUGCGGAAGUUUGAA